CAGGCUUAACACAUGCAAGUCGAGGGGCAGCAUGGUCUUAGCUUGCUAAGGCCGAUGGCGACCGGCGCACGGGUGAGUAACACGUAUCCAACCUGCCGUCUACUCUUGGACAGCCUUCUGAAAGGAAGAUUAAUACAAGAUGGCAUCAUGAGUCCGCAUGUUCACAUGAUUAAAGGUAUUCCGGUAGACGAUGGGGAUGCGUUCCAUUAGAUAGUAGGCGGGGUAACGGCCCACCUAGUCUUCGAUGGAUAGGGGUUCUGAGAGGAAGGUCCCCCACAUUGGAACUGAGACACGGUCCAAACUCCUACGGGAGGCAGCAGUGAGGAAUAUUGGUCAAUGGGCGAGAGCCUGAACCAGCCAAGUAGCGUGAAGGAUGACUGCCCUAUGGGUUGUAAACUUCUUUUAUAAAGGAAUAAAGUCGGGUAUGGAUACCCGUUUGCAUGUACUUUAUGAAUAAGGAUCGGCUAACUCCGUGCCAGCAGCCGCGGUAAUACGGAGGAUCCGAGCGUUAUCCGGAUUUAUUGGGUUUAAAGGGAGCGUAGAUGGAUGUUUAAGUCAGUUGUGAAAGUUUGCGGCUCAACCGUAAAAUUGCAGUUGAUACUGGAUAUCUUGAGUGCAGUUGAGGCAGGCGGAAUUCGUGGCGUAGCGGUGAAAUGCUUAGAUAUCACGAAGAACUCCGAUUGCGAAGGCAGCCUGCUAAGCUGCAACUGACAUUGAGGCUCGAAAGUGUGGGUAUCAAACAGGAUUAGAUACCCUGGUAGUCCACACGGUAAACGAUGAAUACUCGCUGUUUGCGAUAUACAGCAAGCGGCCAAGCGAAAGCGUUAAGUAUUCCACCUGGGGAGUACGCCGGCAACGGUGAAACUCAAAGGAAUUGACGGGGGCCCGCACAAGCGGAGGAACAUGUGGUUUAAUUCGAUGAUACGCGAGGAACCUUACCCGGGCUUAAAUUGCAGAUGAAUUACGGUGAAAGCCGUAAGCCGCAAGGCAUCUGUGAAGGUGCUGCAUGGUUGUCGUCAGCUCGUGCCGUGAGGUGUCGGCUUAAGUGCCAUAACGAGCGCAACCCUUGUUGUCAGUUACUAACAGGUUCCGCUGAGGACUCUGACAAGACUGCCAUCGUAAGAUGUGAGGAAGGUGGGGAUGACGUCAAAUCAGCACGGCCCUUACGUCCGGGGCUACACACGUGUUACAAUGGGGGGUACAGAGGGCCGCUACCACGCGAGUGGAUGCCAAUCCCAAAAACCUCUCUCAGUUCGGACUGGAGUCUGCAACCCGACUCCACGAAGCUGGAUUCGCUAGUAAUCGCGCAUCAGCCACGGCGCGGUGAAUACGUUCCCGGGCCUUGUACACACCGCCCGUCAAGCCAUGGGAGCCGGGGGUACCUGAAGUGCGUAACCGCGAGGAGCGCCCUAGGGUAAAACUGGUGACUG
rnacentral:rRNA from 1 species